rnacentral:rRNA from 1 species
GUGUACCUACGGGAGGCAGCAGUGGGGAAUAUUGGACAAUGGGGGAAACCCUGAUGCAGCGACGCCGCGUGUGGGAAGACGGUCCUCUGGAUUGUAAACCACUGUCCCCAGGGACGAAAAUGACGGUACCUGGGGAGGAAGCUCCGGCUAACUACGUGCCAGCAGCCGCGGUAAUACGUAGGGAGCGAGCGUUGUCCGGAAUUACUGGGUGUAAAGGGAGCGUAGGCGGGGAUGCAAGUUGGGUGUCAAAACUACCGGCUCAACUGGAAGUCG